rnacentral:misc_RNA from 1 species
GAUGAAGAACGUAGCGAAAUGCGAUAAGUAAUGCGAAUUGCAGAAUUCAGUGAAUCAUCGAAUCUUUGAACGCACAUUGCGCCCGCCAGUAUUCUGGCGGGCAUGCCUGUCUGAGCGUCGUUUCGACCCUCGCGCCCGGCUUCUGUCGGGGGCGGUGUUGGGGAUCGGCCACACCCUUCAGUGGGAGGCCGGCCCCUAAAUUCAGUGGCGACCACGCUGUAGCCUCCCCUGCGUAGUACUAAAACCACCUCGCAGGCGGAGAGCGGUGCGGCCCGCCGUAAAACCCCCCAACCUUUACAAGGUCGACCUCAGAUCAGGUAGGAAUACCCGCUGAACUUAAGCAUAUCAAUAAGCGGAGGA